GAUGAACGCUGACAGAAUGCUUAAAACAUGCAAGUCAACAGGUGGCGGACGGGUGAGUAACGCGUAAAGAACUUGCCUCACAGAUAGGGCCAACAUUUGGAAACGAAUGCUAAUACCUGAUACUGUGAGAGUGCUUUGCGUCCCAUUAGCUAGUUGGAGAGGUAACGGCUCACCAAGGCGAUGAUGGGUAGCCGGCCUGAGAGGGUGAUCGGCCACAAGGGGAAUUGGACACGGCCCUUACUCCUACGGGAGGUAGCAGUGGGGAAGAUUGGACAAUGGACCAAAGUCUGAUCCAGCAAUUCUGUGUGCACGAUGAAGUUUUCGGAAUGUAAAGUGCUUUCAGUUGGGAAGCGGUACCAACAGAAGAAGUGACGGCUAAAUACGUGCCAGCCGCCGCGGUAAUAC
rnacentral:rRNA from 1 species